UAGGACUCCCGGCAAUGGAUAUCUUGGCUCUUGCAUCGAUGAAGAGCGCAGCGAAAUGCGAUACGUGGUGCGAAUUGCAGAAUCCCGUGAACCAUCGAGUUUUUGAACGCAAGUUGCGCCUGAGGCCAUCUGGCCGAGGGCACGUCCGCCUGGGCGUCAUGC
rnacentral:rRNA from 1 species